GACGACGCUGGCGGCGUGCCUAAUACAUGCAAGUAGGACGAGUUGCGAACGGGUGAGUAACGCGUGGUAACCUGCCUAUUAGAGGGGGAUAACUAUUGGAAACGAUAGCUAAUACCGCAUACCAUCGGAUGUGCCCAGAUGGGAUUAGCUAGUAGGUGGGGUAAAGGCUCACCUAGGCGACGAUCCCUAGCUGGUCUGAGAGGAUGACCAGCCACACUGGAACUGAGACACGGUCCAGACUCCUACGGGAGGCAGCAGUGGGGAAUAUUGCACAAUGGGCGCAAGCCUGAUGCAGCCAUGCCGCGUGUAUGAAGAAGGCCUUCGGGUUGUAAAGUACUUUCAGCGGGGAGGCGUUACCCGCAGAAGAAGCACCGGCUAACUCCGUGCCAGCAGCCGCGGUAAUUC
rnacentral:rRNA from 1 species